rnacentral:rRNA from 1 species
GAUGAACGCUAGCUACAGGCUUAACACAUGCAAGUCGAGGGGUAACGAGAGGAAAGCUUGCUUUCCUUGUCGACGACCGGCGCACGGGUGAGUAACGCGUAUCCAACCUGCCCCCAACUAGGGAAUAACCUUGCGAAAGUAAGACUAAUACCCUAUAAUUUCCUCAGAUGUCAUCUGACGAGGAAUAAAGAUUUAUCGGUUGUGGAUGGGGAUGCGUCUGAUUAGCUUGUUGGCGGGGUAACGGCCCACCAAGGCAACGAUCAGUCGGGGUUCUGAGAGGAAGGUCCCCCACAUUGGAGCUGAGACACGGUCCAAACUCCUACGGGAGGCAGCAGUGAGGAAUAUUGGUCAAUGGGCGGAAGCCUGAACCAGCCAAGUAGCGUGCAGGAUGACGGCCCUAUGGGUUGUAAACUGCCUUUAUACAGGAAUAAAGUUAGCCACGUGUGGUUAUUUGUAGGUACUGUAUGAAUAAGGACCGGCUAAUUCCGUGCCAGCCGCCGCCGUAA